GCUGGGUGCGGUGGCGCACACCCGUAAUCCCAGCAGCCUGGGAGGCGGAGGCAGGAGGAUGGAGAGUUCAAAGCCAGCCUCAGCAACUUAGCAAGGCCCUGAGCAAUUUAGCAAGACCCUGUCUCAA
rnacentral:sRNA from 1 species